rnacentral:rRNA from 1 species
AGAGAGCUUGCAUAUUGGGUGACGAGUGGCGGACGGGUGAGUAAUGUCUGGGGAUCUGCCCGAUAGAGGGGGAUAACCACUGGAAACGGUGGCUAAUACCGCAUAACGUCGCAAGACCAAAGAGGGGGACCUUCGGGCCUCUCACUAUCGGAUGAACCCAGAUGGGAUUAGCUAGUAGGCGGGGUAAUGGCCCACCUAGGCGACGAUCCCUAGCUGGUCUGAGAGGAUGACCAGCCACACUGGAACUGAGACACGGUCCAGACUCAUACGGGAGGCAGCAGUGGGGAAUAUUGCACCAUGGGCGCAAGCCUGAUGCAGCCAUGCCGCGUGUAUAAAGAAGGCCUUCGGGUUGUAAAGUACUUUCAGCGGGGAGGAGGGCGAUGGGGUUAAAUAACCCUGUCGAUUGACGUUACCCCGCAGAAGAAGCACCGGGCUUAACUCCGUGCCAGCAGCCGCGGUAAUACGGAGGGUGCAAGCGUUAAUCGGAUUUACUGGGGCGUAAAGCGCACGCAGGCGGUCUGUUUAAGUCAGAUGUGAAAUCCCCGGGGCUUCCAGGUUAAGUCGACCGCCUGGGGAGUACGGCCGCAAGGUUAAACCGCACAAGCAUGUGGUUUAAUUCGAUGCAACGCGAAGAACCUUACCUACUCUUGACAUCCACCGAAUUUUGCAGAGAUGCCUUAGUGCCUUCGGGAACCCUGAGACAGGUGCUGCAUGGCUGUCGUCAGCUCGUGUUGUGAAAUGUUGGGUUAAGUCCCGCAACGAGCGCAACCCUUAUCCUUUGUUGCCAGCGAUUCGGUCGGGAACUCAAAGGAGACUGCCGGUGAUAAACCGGAGGAAGGUGGGGAUGACGUCAAGUCAUCAUGGCCCUUACGAGUAGGGCUACACACGUGCUACAAUGGCGCAUACAAAGAGAAGCGACCUCGCGAGAGCAAGCGGACCUCACAAAGUGCGUCGUAGUCCGGAUCGGAGUCUGCAACUCGACUCCGUGAAGUCGGAAUCGCUAGUAAUCGUGGAUCAGAAUGCCACGGUGAAUACGUUCCCGGGCCUUGUACACACCGCCCGUCACACCAUGGGAGUGGGUGCAAAAGAAGUAGGUAGCUACCGCAACGCA